AGUUGCUGCACUCUCCUCUGAGCCUCUGAAGCUCCCUUUUUGUCCCAGCUGACCUCCCAGCAGGGGAAGGGUGUUCCCAGGGUGAGGGAAUGUUGCCACUUUCACAGCUCCCUCCCAGGGGUGCAGGUCUCCUUCUGGUUCCUUUUUUUUUUCUUUUGCUCUACCUGGUUAUGUGGUGAUCCUUCUUGCAGCUUUGGUUGUAUGAGUUCUGCCAGCAUCCAGUAUUCUGCAAGAAUUGUUCCACGUGUAGAUAUAUUUUUGAUGCAUUUAUGGAAGGAGCUCGUGGGAUCUUAGUCACCCCGACCUGGUAUUGAACGUCAGUGAAAGCGCAGAGUCCUAACCACUGGAUCUCCAGGUGCUGGAAUUAUAGUGCAUUGCUGGACCCACAGUCAUCUGGAGCAGGGGGUCGGAGCAGCCACAGAGAACAAGUUUUGUGCUUUGUCUUUUUAUUAUUCUUUAUUUACUGGUCCUACCAACGUGACCCUUUACCCAGGCCCACUGUUCCUAUGUGCACUGGCUUUACAGACAUUUGCACCAUAUGUCUGUGUCCCAAGUUGUGACUGAUUUCUCCUUCCUAUUCCUUUUCCAUGCAGUGCCUCAUUUUCUCAGAAUCUGAAGGCAUUUUUGUUUGUUUGGGUCUGUGUAAAGGUUCCUUGGCAGGAGAACAUGCAUAUGAUCUUAAAAUAAAGACAUUCUGACACUAAGGUAAUGCACAGAAAAAAUACAGUACACAGACAUCAUUGCAAAUAAAUACCCCGUACAGAUGAAGUUUUUGUAAAUGUAACAUUAUUUCUUAUGAAUCAACACUGUAAGAGAAGGUAAAAAUAGGGGUCCCUACAACUAGGAAUAAAAAUGCUUAUUCCAGGAAACAGAAUUCUUCUAUUCUUGCUACUUAUAUUAUUAUAAUUUGUCCUGUAUUUUGGAGGAGAGAGGACACUUUUUCUUCCUCCUCCUUGAGUACCAAUUUGACCACUUGCACAACCUCACUCAGCAAAUCAGAACAGGACACAGAUCUGGUUUGCUAAGGAGCUUUAGUGACUUCUGUUUCCUGAAAUUAACAGUGAUUAGUUACACCAAGCAAGAGAAUAUAUAAUGUCUCUCUCUCACAUUUGCAAAGAAUACUAUGGCUAGCCCUCACCCCAAUGCACGAGGCCGACGGUGCCGGCUCCCCUGCCACCCGCCCCACUCUUCACAAACGUGGCGUGUUGUUCACAUAGCUUGCUUAGCUUGUCCCAUAAAGUCCAUUUGGUUCCCAAAGCACACUCAAGGUUUGUGUUCACUUUCGUUUUCUCAGCCCCUGAAUUUGCAAGGAUCUG